UAGUGUGCAUUAGGUUACAUUAAGUUGAGUUAAUAUUGUUCCUUCAGCCUAAGUGUCUUGUGGCAGUAAUGUUAGGUAAGGUUACUGUAGUGUGCAUUAGGUUAGUUGAGUUAAUACUGUUCCUUCAGCCUAAGUGUCUUGUGGCAGUAAUGUUAGGUAAGGUUACUGUGGUGUGCAUUAGGUUACAUUAAGUUGAGUUAAUAUUGUUCCUUCAGCC